GGUAUCUGAGCUCACAUUCUUCUGAGGCUUGUAGUGCCUAAGGUUCUCCGAAGCACAAAGAGCAAAGAAGCCCAUUCCAUGAAAUACCUGUAAAAUUAAAAUACUUUUAGAAGUCGUACAACAAAAUCUGUUCAUUAUCAAGUAAGUAUGUAAGUUUGUGAACUUAAUCUUGAGUCUUAAACAUGUCAUAUAUGUCAUAUAGAAAGUAAAAAAGUUGCCGUUUUUUUCUAAAUGAACUAAAAAGGAAAAUAACACAAACAAGUUCAAAUGGAUGGAGAGUGAUACCAAUCUUGGGAUAUCGAAUUUGGCUGCAGAUUCUGUAGCCCAAGGGAAGAACAUGUCAGCAACGAGAGCGUUGGGGUGACAUUCACGGAGGAGUAGCUCGAGUUGUUCUUGAAGCAUGGUGGUAGCCUUGAUGAACUUGGGAACCAAAUCAUCAGAAGUCAAUUGAU
rnacentral:lncRNA from 1 species